ensembl:lncRNA
GACAAAUCAGUUUUAAAAAACUCAGCUCUCUUUAACCUUAUCCAUGGCAUGUAAUGGGCCAAUAUAUUAGUCCAUCAUCCAUUAUUUCUUCUUCAGAGCCUCAUGAAUCUUGUCAGGUGGGAAUGUUCACAUGUUCAAACAAUGUGUGUGUGGAGCUGAACAGAGUGUCUGACUACAGCGAUGACUGCAGCGAUGGAACGGAUGAAGAGCUCUGUGAAAGGAGAACAGGCCUGGCCUAAGCAUAGACCACCAAGAGAUCACACCCACAAUACUGCAGCAGGUCAUUACAUUACUCCAGCGCAUGAUCUGGGUGAAAUCCAGACAGCACAGAUCACCUCUAGCACCCUGCUGCCCAGCACUUAUUUCACCGUGAAAUUGUACCACUAUUCUCAUGGUGAAAAUAGCACAGCUGCCAGGCUAGUCAUCAUACUGAGGACACUUCGUAAUGGAGAUGAUGACCGUAUACUUUGGGACAAGACUGUGACACAGAGCUUUCUCUGGCACAGAGCGGAAGUCACCUUUUCUACUUCAGUUAAGAGCAAGACAAUGGUCAGACCUGACCCAACAAUAACACCAGCUACAGCAACAACACCAAUGACUGAUGCUCCUCCAGCUUCACCAACAGUCAACCCUUGUAAGGUCAUGAGCUGCAACUCAACUGUAUGUUGUAUACACUGACUUUACUAUGUACAAAUAUGAAAUGUGAAUAUGUGCCAUAGUCUAAUUUUUGCUGCUCCUUUACUUUUUGACAAAAGCAUUGUGAAACCUGUAUUGCAUUGCUAAGACACUUGGUUUGUCAAAUUCAGGAGAAUGAGUUUCACUGCUGGCAGUCAGAUGGUUUAACAUGCAUUGCAGCUGGUGCUCAGUGUAAUUAUAUCCUAGACUGCCCUCUAGGGGAAGAUGAAGAAACACGCGGUGAGUCAUUCAUUCAUUCAUUCCUUCAUUUUAGGAAAAAUAGAAGUAAAAAAAAUACAUUUUAAUUGUCAAAAUAAAUUCUAAGUAUUCUCAAGAUCAAACAGACCUAAAAGUAUAUGAAAAAAAAUAAAAAUAAA